GAAUUUUUAUUAUAUGCCCUUAUGGCAUCCGAGGUGGGUCCCAGGAGCCAUAAGGGCGUAUAAAUUUUUUUUUUGCAUUUCUGUACAUUUCGGACGAAACUACGUUCAUUCCCGAAAAAGAAUUUUUUAUACACCCUUAUGGCUUUUCACCGGGACCUUUUGCCGGUAUACGCCCUUAUGGCAUCUGGAACGCGAUAUAAUUAUAAUUUAACUU